ACGCUCGACACCUACGGGAGGCAGCAGUGGGGAAUAUUGCACAAUGGGGGAAACCCGUGAUGCAGCGACGCCGCGUGAGUGAAGAAGUAUUUCGGUAUGUAAAGCUCUAUCAGCAGGGAAGAAGAUGACGGUACCUGAGUAAGAAGCCCCGGCUAACUACGUGUCAGCAGCCGCGGUAAUCUGAGCGGGCUGGCAAGGC
rnacentral:rRNA from 1 species